GGGGUUCUAGCUCAUCGGUAGAGCGCUCGCUUAGCAUGCGAGAGGUACAGGAUUCGACUCCCUGGUACUCCA
rnacentral:tRNA from 3 species